rnacentral:rRNA from 1 species
AUGAAAAUAAUAAGUUGGAACUGCCGGGGACUCGGGAACGGCCCGACAGUUCGUUCUCUCCUUGAGCUAGGGAGAGUGGAGGAUCCCGACAUUCCGUUCUUAGCUGAAACAAGGUUGACAGAUAAGGAAUUGGACAGGUUCCGCUGGUUGUUAGGGCUCGCUAACAUGACGGUGUGGAACCCAAAAGGGAGAAGUAGAGGAGUAGCAAUGUUCUGGAGA